CAGUUCUAACUGUAGCUUCUUGUCCCACAUAGAGAUUUCUCAGGAGACAGAUGUUGUGAUCAGGCACUCCCAUUUCUUUAAGAACUUGCCAUAGUUUGCUGUGGUCGACACAGUCAAAGGCUUUUGCAUAGUCAAUGAAAGAGAAGUAGACGUCUUUCUGGAACUCUGUAGCUUUCUCCAUAUUCCAGCGUAUGUUUGCAAUUUGGUCUCUGGUUCCUCUGCCCCUUUGAAAUCCAGCUUGCACUUCUGGGAGUUCUCGGUCCACAUACUUCUUAAGCCUGCCUUGUAGAAUUUUAAGCAUAACCUUGCUUGUGUGUGAAAUGAGUGCAAUUGUGCGGUAGUUGGAACAUUCUUUGGAACUGCCCUUCUUUGGGAUUGGGAUGUAGACUGAUCUUCUCCAAUCCUCUGGCCACUGCUGAGUUUUCCAAACUUGCUGGCAUAUUGAGUGUAGCACCUUAACAGCAUCAUCGUUUAAAAUUUUAAAUAGUUCAGCUGGAAUACCAUCACUUCCACUAGCCCUGUUAUUAGCAGUGCUUUCUAAGGCCCAUUUGACUUCACUCUCCAGGAUGUCUGGCUCAAGGUCAGCAACCACACUACCUGGGGUGUAUGAGGCAUCCAUAUCUUUCUGGUAUAAUUCCUCUUUGUAUUUUUGCCACCUCUUCUUGAUGUCUUCUGCUUCUGUUAGGUCCUUACCACUUUUGCCCUUUAUUAUGGUAAUCUUUGUACGAAAUGUUCCUUUCAUAUCUCCAAUUUUCUCUGGUUCUUCCCAUUCUAUUGUUUUCCUCUAUUUCUUUGCAUUGCUCGUUUAAGAAGGCCUUCUUGUCUCUUCUUGCUAUUUUUUGGAAAUCUGCAUUCAAUUUCCUGUAUCUUUCACUAUCUCCCUCGCAUUUUGCUUGCCUUCUCUCCCCUGCUAUUUGUAAGGCCUCGAUGGACAGCCACUUUGCUUUCUUGCAUUUCCUUUUCAUUGGGAUGGUUUUCGUUGCUGCCUCCUGUAUAAUGUUGCGAGCCUCCAUCCAUAGUUCUUCAGGCACUCUGUUCACCAAAUCUAAAUCCUUAAACCUUUUCCUCACUUCCACUGUGUAUUCAUAAGGGAUGUAACUUAGAUUGUAUCUUACCGGCACAGUGAUUUUUCCUACUUUCUUCAGUUUAAGCUUGAAUUUUGCUGUAAGAAGCUGAUGAUCUGAGCCACAGUCAGCUCCAAGUCUUGUUUUUGCUGGCUGUAUAGAGCUUCUCCAUUUUUGGCUGCAGAGAAUAUAAUCAAUCUGAUUUCGAUGCUGCCCAUCUGGUGAUGUCCAUGUGUAGAGUCGUCUCUUGUGUUGUUGGAAAAGAGUGUUUGUGAUGACCAGCUUGUUCUCUUGGCAGAACUCAAUUAGCCUUUGCCCUGCUUCGUUUUGAACUCCAAACUUGCCAGUUGUUCCUCUUAUCUCUUGAUUCCCUACUUUAGCAUUCCAAUCCCCUAUAAUGAGAAGAACAUCCUUCUUUGGUGUCAUUUCUAUAAGGUGUUGUAAGUCUUCAUAGAAUUGGUCAAUUUCAGUUUCUUCAGCACCAGUAGUUGGUGCAUAAACUUGGAUUACUGUGAUGUUAAAAGGUCUGCCUUGGAUUCGUAUCGAGAUCAUUCUAUCAUUUUUAAGAUUGCAUCCCAGUACAGCUUUCGCCACUCUUUUGUUGACUAUGAGGGCCACUCCUCUUUCCUCGCAGGGGAAUUCAAAUAGGGAUACGGUCCAAAGUAGCACAGGCUGCUCUGGCGCAUGUGGCAGUGAGACAGUUUUGGACAGCACAGAAGAGGUAGAAGGGUAGUUAUGUUGCUAACAUAUGAAUGUAUUUCAAAACAAUACAAGGAAGGCUUUCAUCAGUUGUCCUACAUUCCAACUACCCAAGCUCACAACAGUGGCAGAGAGUUGCUCUCCUGCCUUUAGCAGUCCUCAGAGGCAGGACCUCCAUUAAAACAGCAUUUUUUUACAUAACUGGCAAAUAAACCAUUUUGCCCCUGAAGAACAGUAACGUGGAUUGGUUUAUUUGUUGGGCAAAUAAAUCACUUGCAGCUUCCUCCUCUGCGGUCCUCUAUCUCUCCCUGUUGAUUUUUAGCCACCUCUGUCAUGUUGUUGUGCAGAGCAGGAGAGCAGGUCUGGGAUUUUUUUCAGCGCGGGGGUAAUGGUGUCAUCUGCUGGAGUGCCAUGCUGCCUCGCAGACCCUCCUGGCUCUGUGAAUCAGGUCUUGAUGAGGCUUUUAAGCUUUACUAUUGUUUAUGACUGAUUAGCAUGGAAGGAGGAUGAGGAAGACAAUCAGGUAGAGGCUGGACCCCUCUUCUUUGAAGGGGUUCCUACUUCAUGCUUGCAGUUUUAAUGAUUAACACAUGUUCGCUGGGUUGUUUGCACUUCUAAUUAAAAGCUAAAGGUUACAUUUCAGCCAGCUGAAGAUCUUUUGCUAAAGCUCAAUGUGCUUUACAAGCUGCACUUUAGCAGUCAGAAGUCAAUGUAUCCGAGGUCUGUUGAGCUUCCUCCCCGGAAACAAUGUGUAGGGUUGUGAUCUUGGGAUGUUAUGGUGUUGCUGCUGUUUAGGGUGUGUGGGUGUUAUACACAUGAUCGGAGCAGCUGGUUGCAUUUUUGCAUUCUCCAUGGUUCUGUGGCUGCUGUGGGGGCCUCUCAUUAUGGCUCCUGCACUUCAGAAUUUACCUCUGCUUCCUCAAAGCAGCUUCCCCCUGAAGGCCUCGUUAUUCCCUGAUGCUGCCUGAAUUUUUUUGAGUUAUGGGAAAAACACAAAGUGGUUUUGUUUGCAUGUUCAAGUGGGGAAACGGUUGCUCCAUUAGUGCAAAAGGGGACCCCUCUCUCCUUCCCUCUCUCUAGCACCCUUUCCGCCGCUCCAAUAAUUCUCUUUAAAGUUAUUUGGAAGUGUAUGCUUAAUUAUAUUUGCAUAUGAAAAAUAGGGUCUAAUUAGUGUGAUUGAUUAUUAUUUUAACCUUAAUGACAUUUUGAGUAUCUGUCCCUCCCUAAUAGCAAAAGUAUCACUAAUAAAUCAUGUUCUUUGUAUGGCGAUGGUCUAUUGAGCUGCCAUAUGAAACAUAUUUUAUUAAUAUUCCAGAAUGUAUUGAAUCUGAAACAAGUCAAACAACUGCUCAUUUAUUAAACCGUUUAAAUGUCAGCUUUAUACAGUCAUAAUAUUACAGGUGUAGCAGGAACCCCCCACCCCAAUCAUUCAGUUUGUACAAACUUCACACUCACACACUACAUAUGCCACACUUCUGCUAUAAAUUCAUAGAAAAAUCAACCAUACAUCAGAUUUGCACUGUUCCAUUUUUAUUUUACUCCAUAUGACAAGGACUAUCAAAGGGGGGUGGCUUGGUUCUGGUCAGCCAUAAUCCCUUCACCAUCCCAGCACAUCCACAGGAGCCCUGCCCAGUUGCUAUGCCAACCCUGAUGGUCCUAGACAGAAGACCAUCAAGAUCACAAAGAACUUGCAUAUGGGAGUGGAUUCAGCAUGGACUGAAACAAAGGACAAUGAUCAGAUCUUCCCUCUGGGGGCAGGAAACUGCCAACUCCCUUUGUCUCCUGGAAGUGACUCAUGGGGAGGGGGAAAGGAGGAACCAGCCAGGUGACAGGACACUCAGGUUACCACCACAACUCCUCCCUCAACCCCUCCUUUCUGUAAUGUAUGCAUGAUGUUUCUGGGGGUGGGCUUGACCUAGAGGAUGGGAAUUUCAAAAGUUUUUAUAAGGUCUUGCACACCAUCUUUCUGGGUCUUUCCUCUCUCUCGCAAGUGAGGGGAACACCCUGUUGCAACAGUUCAAUAAAGGCCAAGCCUACAGGCUGCUGUUUUGCUCC